GUUUCUUCCUAGGUUUUUGGCCUUUCUAGGGAGUUUUUCCUAGGGAGUUUUUCCUAGCCACCGUGCUUCUUUCACAUGCUUUGCUUGCUGUUUGGGGUUUUAGGCUGGGUUUCUGUACAGCACUUUGAGAAUAUCAGCUGAUGUACGAAGGGCUAUAUAAAAAUAAAUUUGAUUUUGAUUUGAUAAAUUUGAUUGCCUCGAAGCGAGCAUAGAAGGCAUUUAGCUCAUCUGGUACGCUCGCGUAGCUGGGCAGCUCUCAGAUGGGUCUCCCUUUGUAAUCCGUGAUAGUUUGCAAGCCCUGCCACAUCUGUCAAGCGUCAAGGCCAGCGUAGUAUGAUUCAAUUUUUGUCCUGUAUUGACACUUUGCCGGUUUGAUGGCUUGUCAGAGGUUGUAGCGGGAUUUUAGAAGCAUCGGGAUUAAUGAGGUCAGUUCAUUGGCGGAUCAACAACUGAACUGUCAGCCAUGGGGGCCAGAGUGACAGCCAGUGAGAAGGAGGUGGAGGAACAGAAAAAGGAGGUGACAGCUCUUAGAGAGGAGCUGAGCGUCACCACUACUGAACUGUCAGCCAUGAGGGCCAGAGUGACAGCCAGUGAGAAGGAGGUGGAGGAACAGAAAAAGGAGGUGACAGCUCUUAGAGAGGAGCUGAGCGUCACCAUUACUGAACUGCAGCUCUAGAAGAACAAGGUGGAGGAGCUGGAGAAAGACAAUACAGGACAAGCAGCUGAACUGUCAGCCAUGGGGGUCAGAAUGACAGCCAGUGAGGAGUUGGAAGAGCUGGACAGAGAAUGCAGAACUGACUGUUGAGUGAACUGUGUUUGGUUGCAAGUGAUGUUAUCCCCAGAGGCCAGAGUGACAGCCAGCGAGAGUGGGAAAGCAGCCUUGGAGGGCAGACUGAGUUCCAGUGAGACGGAGGUGGAGGAGAUGAAGAGAGAGAAAAUGAACACUGAUCAUUCAAUCUCAUUGUUACUUAACGCCAGGGAGGCCAGAGUGACAGCUUGUGAGAUUAUAUCCAAUGCCUUCGGAAAGUAUUCAGACCCCUUGACUUUUACAUAAGUAUUCAGACUCUACUCAGUACUUUGUUGAAGCACCUUUGGCAGCGAUUACAGCCUCGAUGCUAUAUGCUUGACACACCUGGGAGUUUCUCCAAUUCUUCUCUGCAGAUCCUCUCAAGCUAUGUCAGGUUGGAUGGGGAGCAUUGCUGCACAGCUAUUUUCAGGUCUCUCCUGAGAUGUGUGAUCGGGUUCAAGUCCGGGCUCUGGCUGGGCCACUCAAGGACAUUCAGGGACUUGUCCUGAAGCCACUCCUGCAUUGUCUUGGCUGUGUGCUUAGGGCCAUUGUCCUGUUGGAAGGUGAACCUUCGCCCCAGUCGCUGUCACUGAAAAACAUCCCCACAAAAUGAUGCUGCCACCACCAUGCUUCACCGUAGGGAUGGUGGCAGGUUUCCUCCAGAUGUGAUGCUUGGCAUUCCGGCCAAAGAGUUUAUUCUUGGUUUCAUCAGACCAGAGAAUCUUGUUUCUCAUGGUCUGAGAGUGUCAUGGUCUGAGUGCCUUUUGGCAAACUCCAAGCGGGCUGUCAUGUGCCUUUUACUGAGGAGUGGCUUCCGUCUGGCCACUCUACCAUAAAGGCCUGAUUGGUGGAGUGCUGCAGAGAUGGUUGUCCUUUUGGAAGUUUCUCCCAUCUCCACAGAGGAACUAUCGGGUUGUUGGUCACCUCCCUGACCAAGGCCCUUCUCACCCCGAUUGCCGGGCGGCCAGCUCUAGGAAGAGUGGUUCCAAACUUCUUCCAUUUAAUGAUGGAGGCAUCUGUGUUCUUGGGGACCUUCAAUGCUGCAGACAUUUUUUGAUACCCUUCCCCAGAUCUGUGCCUUGACACUGACUGUCACACCCUGAUCUGUUUCACCUGUCUUUGUGCUUGUCUCCACCCCCCUCCAGGUGUCGGCCAUCUGCCCCAUUAUCCCCUGUGUAUUUAUACCUGUGUUCUCUGUUUGUCUGUUGCCAGUUCGAAUUGUCUUGGGGCAUUUCACAGUAAAGUCUACACCUGUUGUAUUCAGCCCAUGUGACAAAUAAAAU
rnacentral:lncRNA from 1 species